rnacentral:rRNA from 1 species
GACGAACGCUGGCGGCGUGCUUAACACAUGCAAGUCGAACGGAAAGGCCCUGCUUUUGUGGGGUGCUCGAGUGGCGAACGGGUGAGUAACACGUGAGUAACCUGCCCUUGACUUUGGGAUAACUUCAGGAAACUGGGGCUAAUACCGGAUAGGAGCUCCUGCUGCAUGGUGGGGGUUGGAAAGUUUCGGCGGUUGGGGAUGGACUCGCGGCUUAUCAGCUUGUUGGUGGGGUAGUGGCUUACCAAGGCUUUGACGGGUAGCCGGCCUGAGAGGGUGACCGGCCACAUUGGGACUGCGGGAGACAGCAGACUGCAGUGGGAGGCAGCAGUGGGGAACAGUGCACACUGGGCGGAAGGCUGAUGCAGCAACGCCGCAUGCGGGAUGACCGCCUGCGGGAGGGAAACCGCUUGCGCCUGUGACGAAGCCUGAUUGGCGGUAGGGGGGAUAAAAACACCGGCUAACUACGUG